AACCCGACUCCAUGAAGCUGGAUUCGCUAGUAAUCGCGCAUCAGCCACGGCGCGGUGAAUACGUUCCCGGGCCUUGUACACACCGCCCGUCAAGCCAUGGAAGCCGGGAGUGCCUGAAGUGCGUGAGCGCAAGCAGCGCCCUAAGGUAAAACCGGUGACUGGGGCUAAGUCGUAACAAGGUAUC
rnacentral:rRNA from 1 species